CCUUGACAUACUAAGAACUUUCCAGAGAUGGAUCGGUGCCUUCGGGAACUUAGAUACAGGUGCUGCAUGGCUGUCGUCAGCUCGUGUCGUGAGAUGUUGGGUUAAGUCCCGCAACGAGCGCAACCCUUUUCCUUAUUUGCCAGCGGGUCAUGCCGGGAACUUUAAGGAUACUGCCAGUGACAAACUGGAGGAAGGCGGGGACGACGUCAAGUCAUCAUGGCCCUUACGGCCAGGGCUACACACGUGCUACAAUGGUCGGUACAAAGGGUUGCUACCUCGCGAGAGGAUGCUAAUCUCAAAAAGCCGAUCGUAGUCCGGAUCGCAGUCUGCAACUCGACUGCGUGAAGUCGGAAUCGCUAGUAAUCGCGGAUCAGAAUGCCGCGGUGAAUACGUUCCCGGGCCUUGUACACACCGCCCGUCACACCAUGGGAGUUUGUUGCACCAGAAGUAGGUAGUCUAACCGCAAGGAGGACGCUUACCACGGUGUGGCCGAUGACUGGGGUGAAGUCGUAACAAGGUAAGCGUAGAUGA
rnacentral:rRNA from 1 species